GCAGUCAUGGCCGAGUGGUUAAGGCGAUGGACUAAAAAUCCAUUGGGGUCUCCCCGCACAAGGUUCGAAUCCCGUCGACUGCG
rnacentral:tRNA from 1 species